CAAACAUUAAACCACAGGUAAUGUUUUAAAUGAUCCUGGUGCUCAAGUUGAAUACUUUUGUCUUCUGAUUUAACAGGUGCAGGGCUCUGUCUGGCAUUUGGGAUGUGCAGAAAGAGGCUCCCUGUCAUCAGGAAGUUCUGCUUAGGCAUCAACCCUGAUCUUCUACUGUCUGCUUAAUCCCAAGAAGCAGCUACUAAAUCUGUUAGUGCACUGUACUCACCUGCGCAUCAUUUGUGAGUGAGCACAGCUCCCUGAAAGAAACCACCUUGGGAUUUAUGUCACCUGUGAAGUCCACACUGUAUUACUGGGGUGCACAGCCAUUGCAGUUAAAAGAAAUGGAUGCACAAGUGAAAGUUGUGGGAUGUCUUAGGAAUAAGAAGAUUCAAGCCUGAACAAGAUGACUGCACAAAGCAGAAGAUGAGCCAGAGCCCUCCCUGCUCAGUUCCAGCUUCUGCACAGCUGCAUCUGCUGACCCAAGUGAGGCGAGAGGUUCGGGUCGGGCCGGGGUGACCAGCCUCCUGCAGUUCAGGUGCCUUCCCGCUCUUCAGCCCUUGCUCCUCUGGUACCGUAGGCCUGGGCCUGCCUGGUACCAAUACCAAAUACCAGGAAAACCCCACCAGGCACUUCUCAGUGCUGACUAUUAACAAAUGACAGCGCUCCAAGGACAGGGUCCCUGGAAGCCUGGAUUCCAAGACCAUCUUUACCUCUUGUGACUCCUCACUCUGCUUUGCCAAGACCCCUGCCUUCCUCGCUUCUUUUCCACACGUUCCUCCACACGGCCUCGCUUGUUGGGAUUGCUCCUCUCACUCUCGGGAAACUGGCCCUCAUCAUUCACCUUGUGUCAGCUCCAGAGCUGCCUCUUCCAAGAAGAUCCCCUGACCCAUCCAUGCCUCGAAUUAGAAUCGGGCCCCUUCCUUCUCCAUCCUCGCAGAUUGCACGGUGCCUUUAUUUGGGCCUUUACUUCUUGGUUUAUUUCUCUCUAACUUCCUGACAAAAGCACGAGCCCUCCAAGGGCUGAGCUUUCAUCUUGUUUCUUUGUAAACCUAUAAUCAACACAACACUUAAAAUACGGGAUGGACUUAAUAAAUAUUAGUUAAAUGAAAAAAGUGUUCCAUAUUAUCGAAUUAGAUGGCUCAGCAACCGAUGAAUUCCCUUGUGUGUUAGAUUCUGGCCAAGAAUAGACACUGGGUUAAUAGUUGUUGAUGUAAUGAGUCAUGUUAAGCAUUGUGGAAAUUUUUUGCCUUAUUCUGAAGGUGUUUUAUUUAAAUAAAAUAAACUACCAAAGAAUAA